rnacentral:rRNA from 1 species
CCUACGGGAGGCAGCAGUAAGGAAUAUUGGUCAAUGGAGGCAACUCUGAACCAGCCAUGCCGCGUGCAGGAAGACGGCCCUAUGGGUUGUAAACUGCUUUUGAACUAGAGAAAACCUUGGUACGUGUACCGAGUUGAUAGUAUAGUUAGAAUAAGCAUCGGCUAACUUCGUGCCAGCAGCCGCGGUAAGACGAAGGAUGCAAGCGUUAUCCGGAUUCAUUGGGUUUAAAGGGUGCGUAGGCGGACUGAUAAGUCAGUGGUGAAAUCUCUCAGCUUAACUGAGAAACUGCCAUUGAUACUGUUAGUCUAGAGUACAGAUGAUGUGGGCGGAAUAUGACAUGUAGUGGUGAAAUACUUAGAUAUGUCAUAGAACACCGAUUGCGAAGGCAGCUCACAAAACUGUAACUGACGCUGAGGCACGAAAGUGCGGGGAUCAAACAGGAUUAGAUACCCUGGUAGUCCGCACCGUAAACGAUGAUUACUCGUUGUUGGCGAUAUGACAGUCAGCGACCAAGCGAAAAGCGAUAAGUAAUCCACCUGGGGAGUACGCCGGCAACGGUGAAACUCAAAUGAAAUUGACGGCUUGAGGACGNGCGAGACGACACGAGGGAGGAGG